AUGUUGUUUUCUAAUAUUAUGUCCUUAUAUAUUUUGGAGCAGAAAAGACAUGAUGGAGGAGGAAAAGAGGGGGUUAACAGAAAGGCAUUCUUUGAGGGACCCCCGCCCCCCAUUCAAAUUCAAGUUCACAAUUGUUCAGCUUUGUCAACUGUGUGCAAUUCUUUCCUGAUGGGAACAGAUUUGCCACGGCCAGUGCUGACGGCCAGAUACACAUGUAUGACGGUAAGACCGGGGAGAAGGUGUGAAUGCUGGGCAGAAGAAAGGCCCACGACAGCGGGAUUUACGUCAUUAGUUUGGAGUCCGGACAGCACCCAUUGCUUUCUGCUUCUGGGGACAAAACUUCCAAGAUUUGGGAUGCCAACGUGAACUUGGUGGUCAGCACAAUUCCCAUGGGCUCCACGGUUCUGGACCAGCAGCUGGGCUGCCUGUGGAAGAAGGACCACCUGCUCAGUGUCUCCCCGUUUGGGUACAUCAACUAUUUGGACAGAAACAACCCCAGCAAGCCCCUGCGCGUCAUCAAGGGCCACAGUAAAUCGAUCCUGUGUCUGACGGUGCAUAAAAACGGAGGCAAGUCCUACACUUACUACCGGAGCCACGACGGACACAUUAAUUCCUGGGAUUCGGAGACAGAGGAGAAGGACUCUUUCGCUGGGAAGGGCCACACGAACCAGGUGUCCAGAUGGACCAUGGCGGAGUCGGGGUGGCUCAUCAGCUGCUGCAUAGACGACACCGUGCGGUACACCAGCCUCACGCCGCGGGGCUACAGUGGACAAGGAGUGGUGAAACUGGACGUUCAGCCAAAGUGCGCAGCCGUCGGCCCCGGGGGAUACGCCAUGGUCGGGUGCAUCCGGCAGAGAGUCCUGCUGGAGACUCAGAGGAAGUGCUUCAGCAAUCACAACCCCGGCUCCCAGCCCGGAGCUGUGGCCGCGCAGCCCGGCGGAGGGGGGGCGCGCACGCACUUCCGCCCGCCCGUACUCCAUCUUGGGCACCAGGCUGAAGGACGAGGGCGAGCUCCGAGAGGCCAAGGGCCGGGUGACCGAGGUGGCCUCCUCCCACGACGGCGCCUUCCUCGCGGUGUGCGACGCCAGCAAGCUGGUCACGGUGUUCAACGUUGCCGGCGGCUACUCGAGAACAGUGUUUUUGAUGGACACCAUGCAAAAAUCGUCUGCCUGGCCUGGUCCCCAAACGAUGAACACUUUGGCCCCAGUGGCGGGGACAGGAUGGUGUACAUCUGGACCCUGAGUGACCCGGAAACCAGAGUCAAGAUCCAAGGCGCACAUCGGCUGCACUAUGUCAGCAGCCUGGCCUGGCCUGGCUGGACGAGCGCACGCUGGGCACGACCUCCCACGUCGCCUCUGUUAAGGAGUGGACAAUCACCUACUGA